CGAAGGGAGCUAGCGUUACUCGGAAUCAUUGGGCGUAAAGCGUGCGUAGGCGGUCUUGUAAGUUAGAAGUGAAAUCCUGGGGCUCAACCCUAGAACUGCUUUUAAUACUGCUAGACUAGAAUACUUGAGGGGACAGUAGAAUUCCUAGUGUAGGGGUGAAAUCCGUAGAUAUUAGGAGGAAUACCAGUGGCGAAAGCGACUGUCUGGCAAGUUAUUGACGCUGUUGCACGAAAGCGUGGGGAGCAAACAGGAUUAGAUACCCUGGUAGUCCACGCCAUAAACGAUGAGUGCUAGAUAUCAGAAUUAUUUUGGUGUCGUAGCUAACGCGUUAAGCACUCCGCCUGGGAAGUACGGUCGCAAGAUUA
rnacentral:rRNA from 1 species